UACAGAGGGUGCAAGCGUUGUUCGGAAUUACUGGGCGUAAAGCGCACGUAGGCGGCUUUGUAAGUUAGAGGUGAAAGCCCAGGGCUUAACCCUGGAAUUGCCUUUAAGAACUGCAUCGCUAGAAUUGUGGAGAGGUAAGUGGAAUUCCGAGUGUAGAGGUGAAAUUCGAUAGAUAUUCGGAAGAACACCAGAUGGCGGCAAGGACGGAAC
rnacentral:rRNA from 1 species